UGGAAGAUUAGUAAAAAAGAUGAGACUUUGCAAAUCGAAAGGACGAUUGUCAAUGUUAGCAACAAAAAACAAUUGCAACUUUAUUUCACGUUCACAUUUUCUGUCUUAAAUUUCGAAAACACACAUAUAAAUAGCUUCGUGUUUUGUAAGGACGACAUAUGAAAGUUGGCAAACAUGGAGAAACAGAGCAUCACACACAAGUCACACUUCUUCUUCCUCUUCUUCAAUGUCAUCUUCUUGGAUCCGUGGUACGUGCAUCAGAAGAGGUAGUUUCGGUACAGUUAGCACGGCGAUUAAUAAAACAGACGGUGAAGUUUUCGCCGUGAAGUCCGCGGAUCUCGCCACGUGUCUUCCCGCUCAGUUAGACUCUCUAGAGAACGAAAUCUCCGUUCGUUCACUCAAGCCUCACCCUCACAUAGUGCGGUUCCUCGGCGACGGAGUCUCGAAAGAAGGGAUGACGUCGUUUCGCAACCUCCACUUAGAGUAUCUCCCAGAAGGUGACGCGGCUAAAAACGGAAUCGACGAGACUCUCCUACGGCGUUACGCGGCGUGUCUCAUCUCCGCUCUCCGCCACGUCCACUCGCGAGGACUCGUUCACUGCGACGUCAAGGCAAGUAACGUACUCAUUGUAGGACCGCGAAAAUCCUGAUUGAAAAUUACUAAACAAAAAAGCAUAUAACCGAUAAUAUAAAGACUUACAACGUUUAGACGAAUUCACGGAGUCGAGAUUUGAUCUUUUUCCUUAACUCAAAAAUCGUCCGUAAUGUGUAACGGUUUUAUGCGAUUUUUGAAUCUUAGAAUACAACCGUGAUGAGACCGUUUUGCAACACCCGAAACAGAAUCUACGGACUAACUACUACGAUAUAUUCUCGAGACACUUACUUUAAAAAAUAAAAUCUAAAGAGUAUUUUUUCUAGUGACAGAAAGUGGUAGUUAGAGAGAUGAUUGUGUGAGUUGUGAGAU
rnacentral:lncRNA from 1 species